rnacentral:misc_RNA from 1 species
UGCAAACAAAGGAGCUGUGGUUCAUAAAAUACAGCAACGGAUUUUCUAUUAUCCUCUUCUUAAUAGGAAACAUUUAAUUUUUUAUGUUUUCUUUUUAUAUUCUUUACCAAUCAGUUCAAGAAAAAAUAUUAGCAAGAAUCCAAUUCACGAAUUUCAAUCCUCAAAUUGGUGAAUUCAAAUGAUUACCAUUCUUCUAUUAUUCUAAGAAAGAGUGAUUACCUAUAUGGUCCAUCUCCAAUAAA